GGCCCAUUUGCUCAGUUGAUUAGAGCGUCGUGAUAAUAACGCGAAGGUCGCGGGUUCGAUCCCCUCAUGGGCCA
rnacentral:tRNA from 1 species